AGAGUUUGAUCCUGGCUCAGGACGAACGCUGGCGGCGUGCUUAACACAUGCAAGUCGAACGAGAAGAGAUGAGAAGCUUGCUUCUUAUUGAUUCGAGUGGCAAACGGGUGAGUAACGCGUAAGCAACCUGCCCUCUAGAUGGGGACAACAGCUGGAAACGGCUGCUAAUACCGAAUACGUUUUUUCUGUCGCAUGGCAGAGAGAAGAAAGGGAGGCUCUUCGGAGCUUUCGCUGGAGGAGGGGCUUGCGUCUGAUUAGCUAGUUGGAGGGGUAACGGCCCACCAAGGCGACGAUCAGUAGCCGGUCUGAGAGGAUGAACGGCCACAUUGGGACUGAGACACGGCCCAGACUCCUACGGGAGGCAGCAGUGGGGAAUCUUCCGCAAUGGACGAAAGUCUGACGGAGCAACGCCGCGUGAACGAUGACGGCCUUCGGGUUGUAAAGUUCUGUUAUACGGGACGAAUGGUACGACGGUCAAUACCCGUCGUAAGUGACGGUACCGUAAGAGAAAGCCACGGCUAACUACGUGCCAGCAGCCGCGGUAAUACGUAGGUGGCAAGCGUUGUCCGGAAUUAUUGGGCGUAAAGGGCGCGCAGGCGGCGUUGUAAGUCGGUCUUAAAAGUGCGGGGCUUAACCCCGUGAGGGGACCGAAACUGCGAUGCUAGAGUAUCGGAGAGGAAAGCGGAAUUCCUAGUGUAGCGGUGAAAUGCGUAGAUAUUAGGAGGAACACCAGUGGCGAAAGCGGCUUUCUGGACGACAACUGACGCUGAGGCGCGAAAGCCAGGGGAGCAAACGGGAUUAGAUACCCUGGUAGUCCUGGCCGUAAACGAUGGAUACUAGGUGUAGGAGGUAUCGACCCCUUCUGUGCCGGAGUUAACGCAAUAAGUAUCCCGCCUGGGGAGUACGGCCGCAAGGCUGAAACUCAAAGGAAUUGACGGAAGGGCGAAUCGCGGCCG
rnacentral:rRNA from 1 species